UACGUAGGGGGCAAGCGUUGUCCGGAAUCAUUGGGCGUAAAGGGCGCGUAGGCGGCCACGCACGUCCGUUGUGAAAUCGCCCGGCUCAACUGGGCGGGGUCAGCGGAUACGGUGUGGCUCGAGCAAGCUAGGGGGCAAUGGAAUUCCCGGUGUAGUGGUGGAAUGCGUAGAUAUCGGGAGGAACACCAGUGGCGAAGGCGGUUGCCUGGAGCUUUGCUGACGCUGAGGCGCGAAAGCGUGGGGAGCGAUCCGG
rnacentral:rRNA from 1 species